rnacentral:rRNA from 1 species
UACGUAGGGGGCAAGCGUUGUCCGGAAUCACUGGGCGUAAAGCGCGCGCAGGCGGUCAUCUACGUCUGGGGUGAAAGCCCGGAGCUCAACUCCGGGAUUGCCUUGGAUACGGGAUGACUUGAGGAUCGGAGAGGCAAGGGGAAUUCCACGUGUAGCGGUGAAAUGCGUAGAGAUGUGGAGGAACACCUGUGGCGAAGGCGGCAUCCUGGACCAACACUGACGCUGAGUGAGCGAAAGCCAGGGGAGCAAACGGG